UUAACCGAAACCAAAAUAGAGGUAUAUCACUGUUAAUGAUAAGAUUGGGUACUCCCCGGUUAAG
rnacentral:tRNA from 1 species